UUAAGCGACUAAGCGUACACGGUGGAUGCCCUGGCAGUCAGAGGCGAUGAAGGACGUGCUAAUCUGCGAUAAGCGUCGGUAAGGUGAUAUGAACCGUUAUAACCGGCGAUUUCCGAAUGGGGAAACCCAGUGUGAUUCGUCACACUAUCAUUAACUGAAUCCAUAGGUUAAUGAGGCGAACCGGGGGAACUGAAACAUCUAAGUACCCCGAGGAAAAGAAAUCAACCGAGAUUCCCCCAGUAGCGGCGAGCGAACGGGGAGCAGCCCAGAGCCUGAAUCAGUGUGUGUGUUAGUGGAAGCGUCUGGAAAGGCGCGCGAUACAGGGUGACAGCCCCGUACACAAAAAUGCACAUGCUGUGAGCUCGAUGAGUAGGGCGGGACACGUGGUAUCCUGUCUGAAUAUGGGGGGACCAUCCUCCAAGGCUAAAUACUCCUGACUGACCGAUAGUGAACCAGUACCGUGAGGGAAAGGCGAAAAGAACCCCGGCGAGGGGAGUGAAAAAGAACCUGAAACCGUGUACGUACAAGCAGUGGGAGCCUCUUUAUGGGGUGACUGCGUACCUUUUGUAUAAUGGGUCAGCGACUUAUAUUCUGUAGCAAGGUUAACCGAAUAGGGGAGCCGAAGGGAAACCGAGUCUUAACUGGGCGUUAAGUUGCAGGGUAUAGACCCGAAACCCGGUGAUCUAGCCAUGGGCAGGUUGAAGGUUGGGUAACACUAACUGGAGGACCGAACCGACUAAUGUUGAAAAAUUAGCGGAUGACUUGUGGCUGGGGGUGAAAGGCCAAUCAAACCGGGAGAUAGCUGGUUCUCCCCGAAAGCUAUUUAGGUAGCGCCUCGUGAAUUCAUCUCCGGGGGUAGAGCACUGUUUCGGCAAGGGGGUCAUCCCGACUUACCAACCCGAUGCAAACUGCGAAUACCGGAGAAUGUUAUCACGGGAGACACACGGCGGGUGCUAACGUCCGUCGUGAAGAGGGAAACAACCCAGACCGCCAGCUAAGGUCCCAAAGUCAUGGUUAAGUGGGAAACGAUGUGGGAAGGCCCAGACAGCCAGGAUGUUGGCUUAGAAGCAGCCAUCAUUUAAAGAAAGCGUAAUAGCUCACUGGUCGAGUCGGCCUGCGCGGAAGAUGUAACGGGGCUAAACCAUGCACCGAAGCUGCGGCAGCGACGCUUAUGCGUUGUUGGGUAGGGGAGCGUUCUGUAAGCCUGCGAAGGUGUACUGUGAGGUAUGCUGGAGGUAUCAGAAGUGCGAAUGCUGACAUAAGUAACGAUAAAGCGGGUGAAAAGCCCGCUCGCCGGAAGACCAAGGGUUCCUGUCCAACGUUAAUCGGGGCAGGGUGAGUCGACCCCUAAGGCGAGGCCGAAAGGCGUAGUCGAUGGGAAACAGGUUAAUAUUCCUGUACUUGGUGUUACUGCGAAGGGGGGACGGAGAAGGCUAUGUUGGCCGGGCGACGGUUGUCCCGGUUUAAGCGUGUAGGCUGGUUUUCCAGGCAAAUCCGGAAAAUCAAGGCUGAGGCGUGAUGACGAGGCACUACGGUGCUGAAGCAACAAAUGCCCUGCUUCCAGGAAAAGCCUCUAAGCAUCAGGUAACAUCAAAUCGUACCCCAAACCGACACAGGUGGUCAGGUAGAGAAUACCAAGGCGCUUGAGAGAACUCGGGUGAAGGAACUAGGCAAAAUGGUGCCGUAACUUCGGGAGAAGGCACGCUGAUAUGUAGGUGAAGUCCCUUGCGGAUGGAGCUGAAAUCAGUCGAAGAUACCAGCUGGCUGCAACUGUUUAUUAAAAACACAGCACUGUGCAAACACGAAAGUGGACGUAUACGGUGUGACGCCUGCCCGGUGCCGGAAGGUUAAUUGAUGGGGUUAGCGGUAACGCGAAGCUCUUGAUCGAAGCCCCGGUAAACGGCGGCCGUAACUAUAACGGUCCUAAGGUAGCGAAAUUCCUUGUCGGGUAAGUUCCGACCUGCACGAAUGGCGUAAUGAUGGCCAGGCUGUCUCCACCCGAGACUCAGUGAAAUUGAACUCGCUGUGAAGAUGCAGUGUACCCGCGGCAAGACGGAAAGACCCCGUGAACCUUUACUAUAGCUUGACACUGAACAUUGAGCCUUGAUGUGUAGGAUAGGUGGGAGGCUUUGAAGUGUGGACGCCAGUCUGCAUGGAGCCGACCUUGAAAUACCACCCUUUAAUGUUUGAUGUUCUAACGUUGGCCCCUAAUCGGGGUUGCGGACAGUGUCUGGUGGGUAGUUUGACUGGGGCGGUCUCCUCCUAAAGAGUAACGGAGGAGCACGAAGGUUGGCUAAUCCUGGUCGGACAUCAGGAGGUUAGUGCAAUGGCAUAAGCCAGCUUGACUGCGAGCGUGACGGCGCGAGCAGGUGCGAAAGCAGGUCAUAGUGAUCCGGUGGUUCUGAAUGGAAGGGCCAUCGCUCAACGGAUAAAAGGUACUCCGGGGAUAACAGGCUGAUACCGCCCAAGAGUUCAUAUCGACGGCGGGGUUUGGCACCUCGAUGUCGGCUCAUCACAUCCUGGGGCUGAAGUAGGUCCCAAGGGUAUGGCUGUUCGCCAUUUAAAGUGGUACGCGAGCUGGGUUUAGAACGUCGUGAGACAGUUCGGUCCCUAUCUGCCGUGGGCGCUGGAGAACUGAGGGGGGCUGCUCCUAGUACGAGAGGACCGGAGUGGACGCAUCACUGGUGUUCGGGUUGUCAUGCCAAUGGCACUGCCCGGUAGCUAAAUGCGGAAGAGAUAAGUGCUGAAAGCAUCUAAGCACGAAACUUGCCCCGAGAUGAGUUCUCCCUGACUCCCUGAGAGUCCUGAAGGAACGUUGAAGACGACGACGUUGAUAGGCCGGGUGUGUAAGCGCAGCGAUGCGUUGAGCUAACCGGUACUAAUGAACCGUGAGGCUUAACCUU
rnacentral:rRNA from 1 species